rnacentral:rRNA from 1 species
CCAGACUCCUACGGGAGGCAGCAGUGGGGGAUAUUGCACAAUGGGGGGAACCCUGAUGCAGCGACGCCGCGUGGGUGAAGGAGCGUUUCGGCGCGUAAAGCCCUAUCGGCAGGGAAGAAGGAGGACGGUACCUGACUAAGAAGCCCCGGCUAACUACGUGCCAGCAGCCGCGGUAAUACGUAGGGGGCAAGCGUUAUCCGGAUUUACUGGGUGUAAAGGGUGCGUAGGCGGCUUGGCAAGUCAGUAGUGAAAUCCAUGGGCUUAACCCAUGAACUGCUAUUGAAACUGUCGAGCUUGAGUGAAGUAGAGGUAGGCGGAAUUCCCGGUGUAGCGGUGAAAUGCGUAGAUAUUAGGAGGAACACCAGUGGCGAAGGCGGCUUACUGGACUGUAACUGACGUUGAGGCUCGAAAGCGUGGGGAGCAAACAGGAUUAGAUACCCGAGUA